rnacentral:rRNA from 1 species
UACGUAGGGACCGAGCGUUGUCCGGAAUCAUUGGGCGUAAAGAGCGUGUAGGCGGCCAGGUAGGUCUGGUGUGAAAACUCGAGGCUCAACCUCGAGAGGUCAUCGGGAAACCAUCUGGCUAGAGUCCGGGAAGAGGAGAGUGGAAUUCCCGGUGUAGCGGUGAAAUGCGCAGAUAUCAGGAGGAACACCGGUGGCGAAGGCGGGUCUCUGGGCCGAUACUGACGCUGAGGAGCGAAAGCGUGGGGAGCGAACAGG